CAACGGCUGGAGAUGCUCUAAUUCAUUGUAUUUGCAUGUUUCCAGCAGCCAUGUAUCAAAAAAAGCUUCAGCUUUGGGUUGUUGAUUUAGCAGCAUCAAUCAUUAAUUGUUCUGCUAUAUAUGUUCUUAACCAUGACAACCUGAUUAGGCUCUUAGUUUAUUAUGGUCUUUGUUCUGGGUGGAUCUCUGACUAUUCUGGGUUGCUCCGAUGAGGACAAGCUGCUUCUGCAGGUGGACGGGCCCUCAAGGCUGCUCUGCCUAUUCCUCCUGCUACCCCCACAUGUGCGAACACAAAGCCGUCGAUGCAUUGAGGGCUCAAUGUCGUCUCCGCCGGCUGAGCGGCAAGCCGGUGUUGGGCCUGCACACCGUCUAUCAGCACCCUCCCGUGUCUCCAUUCACGGAUCUGCAGAUCUGAGGAAGGAGGGGAGGAAUAAUCUCGCGGGAGAGUUCGGUGUAGUGGAAGAAGAACAAGAUAUUAUUUAUUUCUUGUGAACAGUCAAGCUUGUGCAUUGUCCCACUUUCUGGGGCCAGGCAACCUUGAAUCCAACGUCCACCUGCAGGCUACAUCUCAGGGAGGAGCCGGGCGACAAGGCAGUCAGACCAAACUCUCUAUCCAUAUAUAUAGGUAGUCUGAUGUUAUGCCAUAGCCGAACCAUAUAUGUUUCGUGUACUGCUCUAUCAAUCUGGUCUUUUUGUAUAUUAGACUCUAUCCAUUGUAAUGAACUUAUUGUCAUGGGCGAUCAUUAUGACUGGAUCGUAUGGUAUGAAUCGGGUCUUUAUGCUUUGUGAUGAAAUAUAAUAUUAUCCUGUUCACCAGUUUGGUUUGGUUUUGAGCUAAAACGUAUAAAAAUACAUGGCUUACAACAAUGG